UACAGAGGUCUCAAGCGUUGUUCGGAUUCAUUGGGCGUAAAGGGCGCGUAGGCGGCGCGGUAAGUCGGGUGUGAAAUCUCGGGGCUUAACUCCGAAACUGCAUUCGAUACUGCCGUGCUUGAGGACUGGAGAGGAGACUGGAAUUUACGGUGUAGCGGUGAAAUGCGUAGAUAUCGUAAGGAAGACCAGUGGCGAAGGCGGGUCUCUGGACAGUACCUGACGCUGAGGCACGAAGGUCAGGGGAGCAAACAGG
rnacentral:rRNA from 1 species